CGGGUUUAUGCCAUGAGUCUAUGAUUCAACUAUGGUUGAACUGCAAACCAACUACUUUAGACUAAAAGCUCCAGUUCCUUCCGUCAUCUUCAGCCAAUUCCUUUGUCCCAUCACUUCCUUCAAUCUCAUUAUACUUUUUUGGCAUCAUAUUUAUUCUUUUCUUAUAAUUUGGCAAUUAUUGUUAAGCUUCAUGAUGCGAUGCUGGGA
rnacentral:lncRNA from 1 species